UCUCUCUCUCUCUCUCCUUUUUCUGCAGUGCUCAGCCAAGUCAGUGAUCCUGGCUUUGGACUUGAGGUCUUUAUAUGCUGGACUUCCAAUGGCAUGUGCACACAUACUAGAUGCCCUCGCUUUUCUUCCAAGAGUGGACAAUGUGGGCAAUUUGCUAUUUGCUGUACAAGUGCCAUUAAGAAUAUGUGGACUUGCUUGCUUGCUGAAGGCUACUGCUCGGUUGGGCAUUGUUCUCCCAGUUUAUAUGAAUACGGAACCUGCAGCAGAGGCACAUCGUGCUGUAUGAAGUCCCUGCCUCACGAGUAGGCAAAUGUUCUUGGGAGCCCAUGGAGUAUCUGGAGCUCCAGCUAUUUCUUCAUUUACAACAUCCUGUCCAAUAGAAAUGUGAAACCAUUCACCUGGAUUUCAAACAACGUGAAAGGAUUCCUCGUACUCCAGUGUCUGCUGCUUUCCACUGAAAUAAACACAGCAUUAGUGAGCUAUG
rnacentral:lncRNA from 1 species